rnacentral:rRNA from 1 species
AACAGGUUGAUAUUCCUGUACCACCUAUAAUCGUUUUAAUCGAUGGGGGGACGCAGUAGGAUAGGCGAAGCGUGCGAUUGGAUUGCACGUCUAAGCAGUAAGGCUGAGUAUUAGGCAAAUCCGGUACUCGUUAAGGCUGAGCUGUGAUGGGGAGAAGACAUUGUGUCUUCGAGUCGUUGAUUUCACACUGCCGAGAAAAGCCUCUAGAUAGAAAAUAGGUGCCCGUACCGCAAACCGACACAGGUAGUCAAGAUGAGAAUUCUAAGGUGAGCGAGCGAACUCUCGUUAAGGAACUCGGCAAAAUGACCCCGUAACUUCGGGAGAAGGGGUGCUCUUUAGGGUUAACGCCCAGAAGAGCCGCAGUGAAUAGGCCCAAGCGACUGUUUAUCAAAAACACAGGUCUCUGCUAAACCGUAAGGUGAUGUAUAGGGGCUGACGCCUGCCCGGUGCUGGAAGGUUAAGAGGAGUGGUUAGCUUCUGCGAAGCUACGAAUCGAAGCCCCAGUAAACGGCGGCCGUAACUAUAACGGUCCUAAGGUAGCGAAAUUCCUUGUCGGGUAAGUUCCGACCCGCACGAAAGGCGUAACGAUUUGGGCACUGUCUCAACGAGAGACUCGGUGAAAUCAUAGUACCUGUGAAGAUGCAGGUUACCCGCGACAGGACGGAAAGACCCCGUGGAGCUUUACUGUAGCCUGAUAUUGAAAUUCGGCACAGCUUGUACAGGAUAGGUAGGAGCCUUUGAAACGUGAGCGCUAGCUUACGUGGAGGCGCUGGUGGGAUACUACCCUAGCUGUGUUGGCUUUCUAACCCGCACCACUUAUCGUGGUGGGAGACAGUGUCAGGCGGGCAGUUUGACUGGGGCGGUCGCCUCCUAAAAGGUAACGGAGGCGCUCAAAGGUUCCCUCAGAAUGGUUGGAAAUCAUUCAUAGAGUGUAAAGGCAUAAGGGAGCUUGACUGCGAGACCUACAAGUCGAGCAGGGUCGAAAGACGGACUUAGUGAUCCGGUGGUUCCGCAUGGAAGGGCCAUCGCUCAACGGAUAAAAGCUACCCCGGGGAUAACAGGCUUAUCUCCCCCAAGAGUUCACAUCGACGGGGAGGUUUGGCACCUCGAUGUCGGCUCAUCGCAUCCUGGGGCUGUAGUCGGUCCCAAGGGUUGGGCUGUUCGCCCAUUAAAGCGGUACGCGAGCUGGGUUCAGAACGUCGUGAGACAGUUCGGUCCCUAUCCGUCGUGGGCGUAGGAAAUUUGAGAGGAGCUGUCCUUAGUACGAGAGGACCGGGAUGGACAUACCUCUGGUGUACCAGUUGUCGUGCCAACGGCAUAGCUGGGUAGCUAUGUGUGGACGGGAUAAGUGCUGAAAGCAUCUAAGCAUGAAGCCCCCCUCAAGAUGAGAUUUCCCAACUUCGGUUAUAAGAUCCCUCAAAGAUGAUGAGGUUAAUAGGUUCGAGGUGGAAGCAUGGUGACAUGUGGAGCUGACGAAUACUAAUCGAUCGAAGACUUAAUCAA